GACGUAGGAGGCGAGCGUUGUCCGGAUUUACUGGGCGUAAAGCGCGUGUAGGCGGCUAUGUAAGUCGGGCGUGAAAUCCCACGGCUCAACCGUGGAAGUGCACCCGAAACUGCGUAGCUAGAGUCCUGGAGAGGAAGGUGGAAUGCUUGGUGUAGAGGUGAAAUUCGUAGAUAUCAAGCGGAACACCGGUGGCGAAGGCGGCCUUCUGGACAGUGACUGACGCUGAGACGCGAAAGCGUGGGGAGCAAACAGGG
rnacentral:rRNA from 1 species